UGAUCCUGCAAACGCAGAAAAAAAUAAAAUCAAGGCAGGGCACAAUAGGUGUGACUCAUGGCUUCACGCUUCGGGGGGCUCGGGACACGCACGCUGUAGCCGAACUGCGUCCACGUCCCUCUAUGGGGCAGUGAGCAGACCAUCUAGUGACGAAGCAAACGGAAUAAAUAUGGGCUUGGGGCAGAGCGAGGCUUUUAAAGGAGACGGCGGACAAAGAUACCCGACAGAGCUGGAUGAACGGGGAUGUAAAAGGGAGGGAUGACUCAGAGGAAACAAGACAACAGGGGGACAGACAGAUGUUGAAAUGGGUGUUGGCGGAUCACGUCUCCUGGAGCACUUGUCGUUUACUUGAAUCCCCGGGAGAAGCUAAGAGGCUGCUGCUCUACACGGACAGGUGAAGCAGGAGGAGAAGAAACAACACCUGGGUGUCACCAGGGGCAUCGCACGCAUGAUCCAAACUCAGCCUCCCCCUCCUGGUGCGCCCGCAGGCGGCAAAGGCAUGCAAAUUGAGCAAUGGAUGAGGAGUAAAAGAAAGGAGAAACACAGUGAAAUGGUCACCGGAGGGACGGUGAUAAAGAAUACAUGCAAACAGAGAAAAGCACCGGUCAAUGAGAAUGAUAUAGGGAAGAACAGGGAGGUGGAUGUGCCAUCUGCAGAUAUACAGUGAUGGAUUAUGCGAGGUUCUGUUUCCACCAGAUGGCGCUGUAAUGCACUAAAAACCCACAUCCUAUUUUGAUAUUUUUCUCAAUAUAUCAGAGACCAAACAUCAUUGGAAAAUGGGAGGCAUAAAAAAUAAAAACACAUAACGGAAUAGACCUAUGGCAGGAUUUUGAAAAACAGCAGAGCAGCAGCAUCUCAAAAGAUGUAUACGAGUUAUUGAAUAAUAAAUUAUGCCAAUUGUCAAACACAGAAUUACAUUAAUAGUCUUAGUUGAAAUGCAUUGAUUGUGCUGUCAUUUUCUAUGUAGCUUGUGUAUUUAAAGACCCUAUCUAUAUAUCUAUAUAUAUAUAUAGAUAUAUAGAUAUAUAGCUUACAAACUCAAUCCUAUGUUCUAUAUAAUGUCAACGCCCCAUCAUGUCACAAAACCUUUCAAAUUCCCAUAAUUAUUACAGAGGACAUGUUGUUUAGUAUGUAUACGGUUUAAAAACCGCGCUAGUCAUAUCUUUGGAUUGAACAUGGCUCCUGUGGUUGUUCCUGUAGUGCUGUUCACUAAUUGAGUAUCAGUGUGCUCGAGUAGUGUCGUACCUCACUCUCCAGAGUGUGUAUCUCUCUGGGCAGCUCCACAGCGUGCCGGCUGAAGUAGUCCAUGGUGAUGGCGUUGUUCCAGUAGCUGAGGUUGUUCUCCUGACUCGAGGACUUCUUCUUCCUCCUCAUGCAGCACACAGUCAAGAGCACAGCUAGGGCGGGCAGAAGAAAAGGAGAGGGAGGUCAGAGACUCAAAGCAGCCGCUUCAAAUAGCCCCCUGGAAGCGCCCACUAUCGCACAAGAUGUUGCUCGAAAAGGCAACUGGUGGGUGUGCCGUGUAGUCAUUUUGAUCACUCCGGAAGACACUGUCAGGAAUCUUAAAGGAUAAUUAUUUAUAAUUAAAACAGACUACAGUGCAAGUGUUUUUCCUAAGGUGCAACUCUCCUCAAAAAGUUAUCAUGCUAUUGCUCUCUCAUCAGUACACAACAGGGUCGAGUCCUGAGUGUGUGUGGGGGCUUUCAACAAAAUGAGCGAGAACCGUCUACUGAAACAAGGUGAAGAAAACAAGAGACUGAAAAGGAAUAAAUGCCACUGUGAAACUCUUCGGUGACCUCAACAAACCUUGUUGUAAAUGAUUUCCUGUAAGAGAUACGGUUGAAAGAAAAUAGUUCCUACAUGUGAUAUUUAUUUUUCUCAUCUAACUCUCCACAAAUAAAGCGAGCGAGUCAAAUUCUUCAAA